rnacentral:rRNA from 1 species
GACGAACGCUGGCGGCGUGCCUAACACAUGCAAGUCGUGCGAGAAAGUUCCUUCGGGAGCGAGUAAAGCGGCGCACGGGUGAGUAACACGUAGGUAACCUGCCCCCCAGUCUGGAACAACUAGAGGAAACUCUAGCUAAUGCCGGAUGAGACCACGAUCCCUUCGGGGGUUGCGGCCAAAGAUGGCCUCUACUUGUAAGCUAUCGCUGAGGGAUGGGCCUGCGGGCCAUUAGCUUGUUGGUGAGGUAACGGCUCACCAAGGCUGUGAUGGCUAGCUGGUCUGAGAGGAUGACCAGCCACACUGGGACUGAGACACGGCCCAGACUCCUACGGAGGCAGCAGUGGGAAUAUUGCGCAAUGGGCGAAAGCCUGACGCAGCGACGCCGCGUGGGUGAUGAAGG